rnacentral:rRNA from 1 species
AGCAGCCGCGGUAAUUCCAGCUCCAAUAGCGUAUAUUAAAGUUGUUGCAGUUAAAAGCUCGUAGUUGAAUUUCGGGACCAAUUUGUUGGUCGUGCCUCGGUACGUACUGGUAUUAUUGGUUUCUCCCUUCUGAAGAACCUCGAUGCCAUUAAUUUGGUGUCGUGGGGAAUCAGGACUGUUACUUUGAAAAAUUAGAGUGUUUAAAGCAAGCAUACGCUUGAAUACAUUAGCAUGGAAUAAUGAAAUAGGACGUUUGAUUCUAUUUUGUUGGUUUCUAGGAUCGACGUAAUGAUUAAUAGGGAUAGUUGGGGGCAUUAGUAUUCAAUUGUCAGAGGUGAAAUUCUUGGAUUUAUUGAAGACUAACUACUGCGAAAGCAUUUGCCAAGGAUGUUUUCAUUAAUCAAGAACGAAAGUUAGGGAUCGAAGAUGAUCAGAUACCGUCGUAGUCUU